rnacentral:misc_RNA from 1 species
GAUGAAGAACGCAGCGAAAUGCGAUAAGUAAUGUGAAUUGCAGAAUUCAGUGAAUCAUCGAAUCUUUGAACGCACAUUGCGCCCCCUGGUAUUCCGGGGGGCAUGCCUGUUCGAGCGUCAUUUCACCACUCAAGCCUCGCUUGGUAUUGGGCGACGCGGUCCGCCGCGCGCCUCAAAUCGACCGGCUGGGUCUUCCGUCCCCUCAGCGUUGUGGAAACUAUUCGCUAAAGGGUGCCGCGGGAGGUCACGCCGCAAAACAACCCCAUUUCUAAGGUUGACCUCGGAUCAGGUAGGGAUACCCGCUGAACUUAAGCAUAUCAAUAAGCGGGGA